GCGGAAUUAGUUUAGUGGUAAAACUUCACCUUCCCAAGGUGGCGUCACGGGUUCAAUUCCCGUAUUCCGCU
rnacentral:tRNA from 1 species